rnacentral:rRNA from 1 species
UGCAGUCGAACGGCAGCACGGAGCUUGCUCUGGUGGCGAGUGGCGAACGGGUGAGCAAAAUAUCGGAACGUACCCUGGAGUGGGGGAUAACGUAGCGAAAGUUACGCUAAUACCGCAUACGAUCUACGGAUGAAAGUGGGGGAUCGCAAGACCUCAUGCUCGUGGAGCGGCCGAUAUCUGAUUAGCUAGUUGGUAGGGUAAAAGCCUACCAAGGCAUCGAUCAGUAGCUGGUCUGAGAGGACGACCAGCCACACUGGAACUGAGACACGGUCCAGACUCCUACGGGAGGCAGCAGUGGGGAAUUUUGGACAAUGGGCGAAAGCCUGAUCCAGCAAUGCCGCGUGAGUGAAGAAGGCCUUCGGGUUGUAAAGCUCUUUUGUCAGGGAAGAAACGGUGAGGGCUAAUAUCCCUUGCUAAUGACGGUACCUGAAGAAUAAGCACCGGCUAACUACGUGCCAGCAGCCGCGGUAAUACGUAGGGUGCAAGCGUUAAUCGGAAUUACUGGGCGUAAAGCGUGCGCAGGCGGUUUUGUAAGUCUGAUGUGAAAUCCCCGGGCUCAACCUGGGAAUUGCAUUGGAGACUGCAAGGCUAGAAUCUGGCAGAGGGGGGUAGAAUUCCACGUGUAGCAGUGAAAUGCGUAGAUAUGUGGAGGAACACCGAUGGCGAAGGCAGCCCCCUGGGUCAAGAUUGACGCUCAUGCACGAAAGCGUGGGGAGCAAACAGGAUUAGAUACCCUGGUAGUCCACGCCCUAAACGAUGUCUACUAGUUGUCGGGUCUUAAUUGACUUGGUAACGCAGCUAACGCGUGAAGUAGACCGCCUGGGGAGUACGGUCGCAAGAUUAAAACUCAAAGGAAUUGACGGGGACCCGCACAAGCGGUGGAUGAUGUGGAUUAAUUCGAUGCAACGCGAAAAACCUUACCUACCCUUGACAUGGCUGGGAAUCCCUUGAGAGAUCGGGAGUGCUCGAAAGAGAACCCAGUACACAGUGCUGCAUGGCCUGUCGUCAGCUCGUGUCG